AGAGUCGGCUGGACAGUCGCUGCAUUCGCUGCGCGAAUGUGGAGGAAAGUCCGGGCUCCGGCGGACGAGGUGCCAGGUAAUACCUGGGGGGCGUGAGCCCACGGAAAGUGCAACAGAGAGCAGACCGCCUAAGCGCCCGGAAACGGGCGCCGGCAAGGGUGAAAGGGUGCGGUAAGAGCGCACCGCGUCGGUGGUAACACUCGACGGCACGGCAAACCCCACCUGGAGCAAGGCCAAAUAGGGAAGCAGCGGCCUUCGGGCCGCAGCGUCGUCCGCACGCGCUUCCGGGUAGGCCGCUAGAGGUCCGUGGUGACACGGAUCCCAGAGGAAUGACUGUCCUCGACAGAACCCGGCUUACAGGCCGACUCUCGCC
rnacentral:RNase_P_RNA from 1 species